rnacentral:sRNA from 1 species
GGGUGCAGUGCCUCACAUCUGUAAUCCAAGCUACUUGGACGAUGGAGGCAGGAGGAUUGCAAGUUUAAGACCAGCCUGGGCAACUUAGCAAGACCCUGUCUCAA